rnacentral:lncRNA from 1 species
UUAUUCAUAUUUUGUGCAUGAGUGCUUGCACGUGUGCAGUUGUACCAGAGACACGCCUGGUGGUCACUGAGAGCAGAAGAAAACAUCAGAACGCCUGGAUCUGGAGCCACUGACCAUUGAACCUUGAACAUAACUUCAAAAGAAGAUUUGAUUUUUACUUCUGGACUGCAUAUAGAAGGCCAUCAGAAUGUCGGGAGCCUCUGUGAAGGUAGCCGUUCGAGUGAGGCCCUUCAAUUCCCGAGAGACCAGCAAGGAGUCCAAGUGCAUCAUUCAGAUGCAGGGCAACUCGACCAGUAUUAUCAACCCAAAGAACCCAAAGGAAGCACCAAAGUCCUUCAGCUUUGACUACUCUUACUGGUCUCACACCUCGCCUGAAGACCCCUGCUUUGCAUCUCAGAGCCGCGUGUACAAUGACAUUGGGAAGGAGAUGCUCUUGCAUGCCUU